ACACCCGUAGCUCAGUUGGUUAGAGCGCCGCCUUGACAUGGCGGAGGUCGGUAGUUCAAAUCUACUCGGGUGUACCA
rnacentral:tRNA from 2 species